GCUGCAGAGCCCGGGGCGGGUACCGCGCGGGAACCAGCGCGACUGCGUGGCUACCGCAGCCGUCGGUUCGUGUUGGACGGGCGCCGCUGCUGCCUCUGCUACUUCAAGAACCCCCACGACCCGCUGCCCCUCGGCCACCUGGACAUAGCAGAAGCCUGCUUCAGCUACCAGCGCGCCGACGAGGCGGCGGAGCAGCCUGCGCACUUCCAGGUGCGCAGCGCGGGAGCCGCCACGGUGCUUGAGAAAUUUGAUGUCUUCUUUCCAUCCUGGGAAUGGACAUAAUGAUAGUCGGAGGUCUGUGUUUUAUGCCAAUGAAAAGUGGGAAUUUUUAGACCCAACCCCUAAGGACCUAGAGGAGUCCAUAGUACAGGAAGAAAAGAAGGAGCCAACCCCUGAAGGAAACAAAG
rnacentral:lncRNA from 1 species